GCCCGAGUGGCGGAAUUGGUAGACGCAGGGGACUCAAAAUCCCCCGACGAUGAGUCGUGCGAGUUCGAGUCUCGCCUCGGGCACCA
rnacentral:tRNA from 1 species